CGGAACACGUACAGAACCUUCCUUUAAGCGGGGGAUAGCCCAUAGAAAUGUGGAUUAAUACCCCAUAAUAUUAUUGACUGGCAUCAGUUGAUAAUUAAAGAUUUAUCACUUAAAGAUGGCUGUGCGGCUGAUUAGGUAGUUGGCGGGGUAACGGCCCACCAAGCCUGCGAUCAGUAACUGGUGUGAGAGCACGACCAGUCACACGGGCACUGAGACACGGGCCCG
rnacentral:rRNA from 1 species